AGGCAAGAGGUGAACACCACACUUUGGCUUCGAACCAGAGAGAGAGCUAUUUCCUUGUCUU
rnacentral:tRNA from 1 species